AGCGAACGUUGGCGGUAGGCCUAACACAUGCAAGUCGAACGAGAAACCACCUUCGGGUGGCGGAAGGUGGCGGACGGGUGAGUAAUACAUAGAAAUCUGCCUUGAAGUGGGGGAUAACGUUUGGAAACAGACGCUAAUACCGCAUAAUCCAUAUUGGGAAAACUCAGGUGCUUUAAGAUGAGUCUAUGCUUGAUUAGCUUGUUGGUGAGGUAAAAGCUCACCAAGGCGACGAUCAAUAGCUGGUUUGAGAAGAUGAUCAGCCACACUGGGACUGAGACACGGCCCAG
rnacentral:rRNA from 1 species